rnacentral:rRNA from 1 species
UACGUAGGGAGCAAGCGUUGUCCGGAAUCAUUGGGCGUAAAGCGCGCGUAGGUGGCUUCGUAAGUCCGUUGUGAAAGUCAAAGGCUCAACCUUUGAAAGCCGAUGGAUACUGCGGAGCUAGAGUACGGAAGAGGCGAGUGGAAUUCCUGGUGUAGCGGUGGAAUGCGCAGAUAUCGGGAGGAAUACCUAUGGCGAAAGCAAGUUUCUGGGCCGUUACUGACGCUGAGCUGCGAAAGCUAGGGGAGCAAACAGG